rnacentral:rRNA from 1 species
GGUUAAGCGACUAAGCGUACACGGUGGAUGCCCUGGCAGUCAGAGGCGAUGAAGGACGUGCUAAUCUGCGAAAAGCGCCGGCGAGGUGAUAUGAACCUUUGACCCGGCGAUGUCCGAAUGGGGAAACCCAGUGCAAUUCGUUGCACUAUCGUUAACUGAAUACAUAGGUUAACGAGGCGAACCGGGGGAACUGAAACAUCUAAGUACCCCGAGGAAAAGAAAUCAACCGAGAUUCCCCCAGUAGCGGCGAGCGAACGGGGAGCAGCCCAGAGUCUGAAUCAGCUUGUGUGUUAGUGGAAGCGUCUGGAAAGUCGCACGGUACAGGGUGACAGUCCCGUACACGAAAGCACACAGGUUGUGAACUCGAAGAGUAGGGCGGGACACGUGGUAUCCUGUCUGAAUAUGGGGGGACCAUCCUCCAAGGCUAAAUACUCCUGACUGACCGAUAGUGAACCAGUACCGUGAGGGAAAGGCGAAAAGAACCCCGGCGAGGGGAGUGAAAAAGAACCUGAAACCGUGUACGUACAAGCAGUGGGAGCACCUUCGUGGUGUGACUGCGUACCUUUUGUAUAAUGGGUCAGCGACUUAUAUUCUGUAGCAAGGUUAACCGUAUAGGGGAGCCGAAGGGAAACCGAGUCUUAACUGGGCGUUAAGUUGCAGGGUAUAGACCCGAAACCCGGUGAUCUAGCCAUGGGCAGGUUGAAGGUUGGGUAACACUAACUGGAGGACCGAACCGACUAAUGUUGAAAAAUUAGCGGAUGACUUGUGGCUGGGGGUGAAAGGCCAAUCAAACCGGGAGAUAGCUGGUUCUCCCCGAAAGCUAUUUAGGUAGCGCCUCGUGAACUCAUCUUCGGGGGUAGAGCACUGUUUCGGCUAGGGGGCCAUCCCGGCUUACCAACCCGAUGCAAACUACGAAUACCGAAGAAUGUUAUCACGGGAGACACACGGCGGGUGCUAACGUCCGUCGUGAAGAGGGAAACAACCCAGACCGCCAGCUAAGGUCCCAAAGUCAUGGUUAAGUGGGAAACGAUGUGGGAAGGCACAGACAGCCAGGAUGUUGGCUUAGAAGCAGCCAUCAUUUAAAGAAAGCGUAAUAGCUCACUGGUCGAGUCGGCCUGCGCGGAAGAUGUAACGGGGCUAAACCAUGCACCGAAGCUGCGGCAGCGACGCUUAUGCGUUGUUGGGUAGGGGAGCGUUCUGUAAGCCGUUGAAGGUGUGCUGUGAGGCAUGCUGGAGGUAUCAGAAGUGCGAAUGCUGACAUAAGUAACGAUAAAGCGGGUGAAAAGCCCGCUCGCCGGAAGACCAAGGGUUCCUGUCCAACGUUAAUCGGGGCAGGGUGAGUCGACCCCUAAGGCGAGGCCGAAAGGCGUAGUCGAUGGGAAACAGGUUAAUAUUCCUGUACUUGGUGUUACUGCGAAGGGGGGACGGAGAAGGCUAUGUUAGCCGGGCGACGGUUGUCCCGGUUUAAGCAUGUAGGCGGAGGUUCCAGGUAAAUCCGGUACCUUAUUAACGCUGAGGUGUGAUGACGAGGCACUACGGUGCUGAAGUAACAAAUGCCCUGCUUCCAGGAAAAGCCUCUAAGCAUCAGGUAACAUCAAAUCGUACCCCAAACCGACACAGGUGGUCAGGUAGAGAAUACCAAGGCGCUUGAGAGAACUCGGGUGAAGGAACUAGGCAAAAUGGUGCCGUAACUUCGGGAGAAGGCACGCUGAUAUGUAGGUGAAGCCCCUGCGGGUGGAGCUGAAAUCAGUCGAAGAUACCAGCUGGCUGCAACUGUUUAUUAAAAACACAGCACUGUGCAAACACGAAAGUGGACGUAUACGGUGUGACGCCUGCCCGGUGCCGGAAGGUUAAUUGAUGGGGUUAGCGGCAACGCGAAGCUCUUGAUCGAAGCCCCGGUAAACGGCGGCCGUAACUAUAACGGUCCUAAGGUAGCGAAAUUCCUUGUCGGGUAAGUUCCGACCUGCACGAAUGGCGUAAUGAUGGCCAGGCUGUCUCCACCCGAGACUCAGUGAAAUUGAACUCGCUGUGAAGAUGCAGUGUACCCGCGGCAAGACGGAAAGACCCCGUGAACCUUUACUAUAGCUUGACACUGAACACUGGUCCUUGAUGUGUAGGAUAGGUGGGAGGCUUUGAAGCGUGGACGCCAGUCUGCGUGGAGCCGACCUUGAAAUACCACCCUUUAAUGGCUGGUGUUCUAACGUAGACCCGUGAUCCGGGUUGCGGACAGUGUCUGGUGGGUAGUUUGACUGGGGCGGUCUCCUCCCAAAGAGUAACGGAGGAGCACGAAGGUUAGCUAAUCCUGGUCGGACAUCAGGAGGUUAGUGCAAUGGCAUAAGCUAGCUUGACUGCGAGAGUGACGGCUCGAGCAGGUGCGAAAGCAGGUCAUAGUGAUCCGGUGGUUCUGAAUGGAAGGGCCAUCGCUCAACGGAUAAAAGGUACUCCGGGGAUAACAGGCUGAUACCGCCCAAGAGUUCAUAUCGACGGCGGUGUUUGGCACCUCGAUGUCGGCUCAUCACAUCCUGGGGCUGAAGUAGGUCCCAAGGGUAUGGCUGUUCGCCAUUUAAAGUGGUACGCGAGCUGGGUUUAGAACGUCGUGAGACAGUUCGGUCCCUAUCUGCCGUGGGCGCUGGAGAAUUGAGGGGGGCUGCUCCUAGUACGAGAGGACCGGAGUGGACGCAUCACUGGUGUUCGGGUUGUCAUGCCAAUGGCACUGCCCGGUAGCUAAAUGCGGAAAAGAUAAGUGCUGAAAGCAUCUAAGCACGAAACUUGCCCCGAGAUGAGUUCUCCCUGACUCCUUGAGAGUCCUGAAGGAACGUUGAAGACUACGACGUUGAUAGGUCGGGUGUGUAAGCGCAGCGAUGCGUUGAGCUAACCGAUACUAAUGAACCGUGAGGCUUAACCUU